UUCUAGUGGCGGACGGGUGAGUAACACGUGAGCAACCUGCCCGACAUUUCGGGAUAACACCGGGAAAUCGGUGCUAAUACCGAAUAUUCCAUAUAGAGCGCCUGCUCUUUAUGGGAAAGGGUUUACUGAUGUCGGAUGGGCUCGCGUCCCAUUAGCUAGUUGGUAGGGUAACGGCCUACCAAGGCUGCGAUGGGUAGCUGGUCUGAGAGGACGAUCAGCCACACUGGAACUGAGACACGGUCCAGACUCCUACGGGAGGCAGCAGUGGGGAAUAUUGCACAAUGGGCGAAAGCCUGAUGCAGCGACGCCGCGUGGAGGAUGAAGGCUUUCGGGUCGUAAACUCCUGUCUGGGGGGAUGAAUUCUGACAGUACCCCCAGAGGAAGCCCCGGCUAACUACGUGCCAGCAGCCGCGGUAAUACGUAGGGGGCGAGCGUUGUCCGGAAUUACUGGGCGUAAAGGGCGCGCAGGCGGCCUGUUUAGUCAGGUGUUAAAUUGCGGGGCUUAACUCCGUACCGCACUUGAUACUGGCAGGCUUGAGUGCAGAAGAGGAAAGUGGAAU
rnacentral:rRNA from 1 species